rnacentral:rRNA from 1 species
UACGUAGGCAGCAAGCGUUGUUCGGAGUUACUGGGCGUAAAGGGUGCGUAGGCGGCCCUGUAAGUAUGGUGUGAAAUCUCCCGGCUUAACUGGGAGGGUGCGCUAUAGACUGCGGGGCUCGAGUGUGGGAGAGGAAAGUGGAAUUCCUGGUGUAGCGGUGAAAUGCGUAGAUAUCAGGAGGAACACCGGUGGUGUAAACGGCUUUCUGGACCUUAACUGACGCUGAGGCACGAAAGCGUGGGUAGCAAACAGG